rnacentral:lncRNA from 1 species
UGUUAUAUACUUGAUUUGUAUAUGGUUGUUGGAAACGUAGAUCAGUACGUAUCAUACCGGAAUCACAGGGGUGCUCCGGGAUGAUGUUUGUAAAUAGUAUAAUCAUCUAUAUAUCCUCCGUAUCAAGUUACAUUAGCAUGCCUGUUCUCUUUCUCUUUACCACCGCAUGUUAAGGUAGUCACACACAAAUAUAUUGAGAGCAGUAAAAUUAGUUUUUAGAAACGAUUUCGUCCUUUAUUAGUCCCCCAAGGACGUUGAAUGGUGGAGGACCUCAAAUACUUCCCGCUGGCGUUAUGAACAUUGUAUUUUUUGUUUGCAUUCCGUCUUUAAUACUAGCUUUAUAAUGCAAUUAAUUGACAUUUUGAUUGUGUGAAUUUGACCCAAAUUACAGCGUAGUGUGUGUAUCGUCUGCACGCAAUCAUCAUGCAGAUAAGGAAUGUAUUUUUAGAUUGCAGUGACCAGCUACAUGAUAAUGAGCAAUGAUAAGCUACAGCGUGAAAUUCUUAAAUUGAGAAACAAACUUUCGCAUCAACGUGCCUUUAAUAAAACACCUAUAAUUUUAUCCGAUAGUAAAGGGAAAUAUUUAAAAUUACAAAGAAAUUUAGCAAUUGAAUCUGGCGUUCGUUUUUGGCAUAAAAAGGGAGCAACAACAAGAGACAGUUUUAAAUAUUUAGAA